rnacentral:rRNA from 1 species
UACGAAGGGGGCUAGCGUUGUUCGGAAUCACUGGGCGUAAAGCGCACGUAGGCGGAUUUUUAAGUCAGGGGUGAAAUCCCGAGGCUCAACCUCGGAACUGCCUUUGAUACUGAGGAUCUGGAGUCCGGGAGAGGUGAGCGGAACUGCGAGUGUAGAGGUGAAAUUCGUAGAUAUUCGCAAGAACACCAGUGGCGAAGGCGGCUCACUGGCCCGGAACUGACGCUGAGGUGCGAAAGCGUGGGGAGCAAACAGGG